rnacentral:rRNA from 1 species
AUUGAACGCUGGCGGCAGGCCUAACACAUGCAAGUCGAGCGAGCGGCGGACGGGUGAGUAAUGUAUGGGGACUGCCCGAUAGAGGGGGAUAACUUCUGGAAACGGUAGCUAAUACCGCAUACUAUUGGAUAAACAAUAUGGGAUUAGCUAGUAGGUGAGGUAAUGGCUCACCUAGGCGACGAUCCUUAGCUGGUCUGAGAGGAUGAUCAGCCACACUGGGACUAGGACACGGCCAAGACGCCGACGGAGUCAGGAGUGGGGAAGAUUGGACAAUGGGGGCAAGCCUGAUGCAGCCAUGCGGCGUGUAUGAUGAAGGCCUUCGGGUGGUAAAGUACUUUUGGCAGAGAAGCGGUAUCUGCAGAAUAAGCACCGGCUAACUACGUGCCAGCAGCCGCGGUAAUUC